CGGAAGGAUCAUUGUCAAAUCCUUGUACCGAAUGACCUGCGAACACGUUCCGAAAAUCACGAGCGCUGUUGCGCCCUUGCUCGGUGCGGGUCGGUGACUUGUUGCCGGACGCGUCGAGCAUCGAAAACAAAAUCCGGCGCGGGAAGCGCCAAGGACUAGCGAAAUAGAGGAUGGCCUUCCCGCGGCAUCCCGGCAUGCCGCGGGGAUUAAAGGGUCUCCAAAUGAAAAUGUUGUACACAGUACGACUCUCGGCAACGGAUAUCUAGGCUCUCGCAUCGAUGAAGAACGUAGCAAACUGCGAUAGUUGGUGUGAAUUGCAGAAUCCCGUGAACCAUGGAGUCUUUGAACGCAAGUUGCGCCCGAAGCCAUUAGGCCGAGGGCACGUCUGCCUGGGCGUCACGCACUGCGUCGUGCCCCCCUCACCCGUGUCCCGAAAGGGUCGCGGGCCUUAGGGGUGGGGGCGGAAGUUGGCUUCCCGUGCAGCGUUUGCGGCUAGCCCGAAACAACGGUUCCCUCGGCGCGGACGUCGCGACAAGUGGUGGUCCGUCGAGAUUGUACGCGAGUUGCCGGCAAGCUGCGUCGAGGAGAGCAUUUGGACCCCGUGCGAGACGAGUCCCUUCGGCGAGGGGCAAUCGCAACGAUUGCGACCCCAGGUCAGGC
rnacentral:sRNA from 1 species